AUAUAUAUAUAUACAUAUAUUUACAUAUAUAUAUACGUAUAUACAUAUAUAUAUAUAUAUAUUUUAUGAUUGUCGUUGUUGAAUUCGUCGCAUUACAUAGGGUUUUACCCCCGUCCAUCGCCGCAGUAGUAGACGUACUGGAUACGACGUAAUUGAGAAAAAGUACUUCGGAUUUUACGAGGUAAACGGAUGACGAGAGAAACCUAGGUUACCGCAGAAUCUUAGAUGAAAAUGGAUAAAGUAACAAAAUAUUAUAAAUAAUUAUACUAUUAUACAUUAUAUACAUAUAUUAUCUACAUACUUAUAUACAUAAAGGCGCAUAUAAAUAUGUAAAGGUCUAACGUUGUAUACGUCGGGAUGAGAGAGUCCGAGGAUAGGAUGAUUUUAUUACGGCAACGCUUUCUUUCGCUCGUGCGUACGGAUAUAUUUGAUAAUUGUCGCUCUUCUCUUAACCCUUUCUCUGCCCUUGAGUAUUCGCUCCACGCGCGCCAUAUAUCCCCGCGAUCGUUCCCUUCCAAAUUACACACCUUUUACAUCGGUGAGUGGAUCUUGAUCGCUUCCCCGAUACGAUGCGAGUAGAUGAAAAGAUCGUGUCGCGAUACUCUGCGCUUCGGGGACAGAAGGGCCGUUAGAUCAACGAUCUAAACUUAUUUCUCCGUUACUCGAUCUAUGGGUGGUAAACAGAAUAUUUUUACGAAACUAUCGUUCUAGCGACACGACCGUAGAAUAAUUUCAAAGCUACAUUGUUGAAUUACUAUUCACCGAUUGUUAUAUCAACGUUUAUCUAUUGUUUUUAUCGUACAAACGACGACGUAGAGAAUUAGAAGGAAAAGAAAUUUUUCUAAAGGAAAAGCGUGGAGUUGGAGAAUGACGACAGUACUAGGGUUAAAUUGGAACGUACAAAGGUCGAUUUUCUGUUUUUCGCGGAUAUUUAGGAUACGUGCGAUUAGACGAAACCAGCCUAGUACGUAUAUAUAUACAUGUAUAUGUAUAUGUAGAUGUAUCUAUAUAUACGUGUAUAUAUAUACACAUACACACGCACACAAGCAUAUAUAUGUAUGUAUAUAUAUAUAUAUAUAUAUAUUAUAUACACUUUCACAUAUACACAGGCGUACACGUACAACACACCACACAUACACAAAUAUACACAUAUGUAUAAAUAUAAAUAUGAAUUUUACUACGGAUUGCAGCGUGCACGUGCAAUUUGAUCGGGAAACAACGAGGUCUCGAUAAGCGUUCGAUUUGACGAUUUUUGUGAUACCUGUCAAAUAUGUAAACGGCAAAUCGAUCUUCUCGAUAGACGACCACGCUUUUCGUUUGUCUCAGUCACGAUGUAAUUUCGUACGGAUACCGGUACGAGAGUAUUCUCAACGGAGACAAGACAAAUGCUGCACCAACGACCAUAUUAUUUACACCUCACGCAGGAUGAUUUUCGGCUUAUAUCUAGAGAAAUCGCUGAUCGCGUGCGAGUUGAACGUUAACGAGGAUAUUACAUGCAAGAUAAAAAAAAAAAAGAAAAAAGGAAAAAAAAUCAGUACAGUGAAUAUCUCGCAGGAAGAUAAAUAAAUAAAUGAAAAUAUAACAGGCUGAUGUUAAAGAGUAAUGUCGCGGUAGAACCGAUAGCGAACGAACAUUUAGGAUCGGUAAUUGAACGUAGCCGAUUACAACGUUUUCCUUUCUUCUGUCUUGUUCGAUCGUAAAAACAUAUUUCACGUUAUCUCGUCGAUUACAAUCGAAAUUACACGAUUUGUUCUUUUAUUCGAAAUAUCGAAAUCUUGGAGUCUGUUACAGUUCGCUGGGGGAUUUUAAUUAAACGUCGUGCGGUGAUCGUUAACGAAAAUUGGUGAUCGGCCGAAUCAACGAUCGAUCGGAUGCUCGACUUUCGUUCGACGUGUCGGUGCUAUCGCGACCGAUAACGCGUGCAAUAAAACAGAAUAUGUAAACAAUAUUAAUAUCAUUAUAUACAACAUUUUUACGGCAUAUACGAAUACGAUGUAGAGAAAACAAGUGAAAACAAGUUUAGGAUAAUAUUACUUGUUGUUGUCUACCAUAGCGUUGUAGUUAUAUACAAUACAGGUAGGAAAUUAUAGGCAAGCCGAAGCGAAUGAGAGGGAGAACGAGUGCGAGAGUGUAAUGGAACUGAGAGUAAACGCGUAUGAACGAUGUACGAGUGUGUGUUAGAGAAAGAGAAAGAAAGAAGGAGAGAAAGAGAUGCGAAUGAGACGAGAGAAAAAGAGAGGAGAAAAUUUGAUGCAAUUGACGAGCGUACAUGUUAUUAUUACGUAAUAGCAACUAUAUAUAUAUUCACAUAUAUAUGUAUUGUACAUAUACCUAUGUGUAUAUAUAUACAUACUCGAGAAAGCUGCUUACUUGAAAGCAACCAACAACCAACAGAAGAAAACAAAAAAAUCAAUGAUUAACAUUAUAUACAGAAGUCUAUACAUAUAAACUUUAAAGAACGUGUGCCUAUGUGCGCACGUGCGUACGCGCGCGUACGUGCGGACACUCGACAACCCCGAAUCCACCCGAUUCCCACCUCCUGCCCAACCAACCACCCUCCUCUGCAGCCUCUCUCUCCUUCCUCCACUCUCACAUCCAUCUAUCCCCCUCUCUGCCCCUUCACCCUCAUCUGUCCAUCCAUCCAUCCAUCUAUCCAUCCAUCUAUCCCUUCUCCCCCUCCCCUUCAUCCUUUCUCUUCCUGUCUUUCUGUGUCUCCCUCCAUUCUACUUCACACGCACUUGCGCACAUAUCCAUGACGCAUUACCGUAGCCGUGUUGUGUAGGGAAUGUCUUUAACGAAUAAGAUACGAUUUCUCAUGUUACAUGUUAUAAGAAGCAAAAAAAAAGAAAAAAAAAAACGAAGCAGCAAAAGUAACUCAAAAAAGAAAAAAAAAAGAUAAUAACGAGACAAAUCUCUUCUCCGGUCAGUUGCAGGAUCGCUCGAACGUUGUCGAAUCAAUAAUCCUGUAGACGAUUCCGUGUUGUGUCGGAAAAAAAGAAAGAAAGAAAGAAAAGAAAAGAAAGAAGCAGAGAAAAAAUAGAGAAAAGAGGAAAGGAAGAAAGGAAUACGUGACACGAGAGAAAAGGCGAAGGGAACUUUCGUUGAGGAAUCCGACCCACUUGCUAUGCCACAGCCAAUGAUCGUGCUUUUCUCGUCGCAACAGAAAAAUCUACAAGUCGAUUAACAAACCGGCCGAAAUAUGAGAAAAUGAAAAUGCGAUUGAAGAUGCCAUCGGGAUAGGUUGACGCGUUCAAUCGUUCAUCAUUCCGUUUCGUUGCCACCCUCUUGAAAUUAAAGAUUUUUUCGUUUAAAAUGAAAUUACAAAAAGUUAGAGUAUGUUAGUUGUUUCAUUUUGCGUUGAAAGACGAAACGAUUACCAAAAUGCAUACUCGAUGUUUCGUUAUUCUGUUCGUUUGAGACGUCAGUCUAUAAAAGUAUGUAUGUAUUUCUCUAAUGAAGAAUGCCAUCACGCAAAGGUGCAUGUAGAAUGUACAUACAUAUCUUUAGGAAAGUUCCUUUGAAAUCACUUUUCAAGUUCUUAAAGUUGCUUUCUCUUGUUCCAUCGCUACGAUUAUAUCACUUCCCUUGCUUAUUGAAAAAUAUUUAACACUUUGUACUUUGAUCUAUCUACGAUUCGUGCUUCAGGUUUUUUCCAUUUACAAAUUGGACGAUGAAAAACUAGAAAAAGUAUUCCAUUAUUUUGCUUAAUAGAGCUAAUCGAGUAUGACAUUCCAGUCUAUGAUAUUUUCUUGGAUAUUUUUAUUUUUUCGUCCUAAAGUAUUAGCCUUAAAAAUUAAAAAAUAUCGUGCUAUCGGGAUAAUUGCGAUCGAAACGUCAGCAUAUGGCAUAAGAAGUUGAAAAAGAGACGAGAGGAUGCACGAUCCGCGAACAAUGAAUCGGAUAUGCGGGUCAACGAUGUUAGCCAGCGUUGUGACCAGUUUUUCCUUAUACUUAACUUUGACCGAGAGAGUCCUCACGGCACGGCGUAGAUGGAAAAGUCGGGCGGUGGGUUAUCGAUCAUUAAGAAUCAGAUAUAUAUGCAUUAUUCCGUACCAAGUACGGCUAGAGCUAUCGAGUAAUUUAAUAUAGAAUUAAAACAGUCAACUGUAUCGCGAUUAACGGAGCACGAACGAAGAAAGGCCUGCAUCGACCAUCUUUCCUCCACACUUUUAACCCGAUUUCCCGUUCCUUCCAAAAAAAAACCCAGUUCCCGUUAUUCUAAUAUUCCUGCCUCCCUCUAACCCUCAACAAAAACAAGAUAACAUAUUGUAAUCUAUUGUAGAUUGUUGUAGAUAAAUUAUACGGUUUGACCGUACAUUGUUACUUUUUGUCGACAAUAUAAAAUACACAGAUAUAUAAGUAA